AGGAUGAACGCUAGCGACAGGCUUAACACAUCGCAAGUCGAGGGCAUCACGGGAGUAGCAAUACAACUGGUGGCGACCGGCGCACGGGUGAGUAACGCGUAGUGCAACCUACCUAUCAGGAGGGGAAUAACCCGGCGAAAUCGGACUAAUACCGCAUAAAACAGGGGGCACCGCAUGGUGAUAUUUGUUAAAGAAAUUCGCUGAUAGAUGGGCAUGCGUUCCAUUAGGUAGUUGGUGAGGUAACGGCUCACCAAGCCGACGAUGGAUAGGGGAACUGAGAGGUUGGUCCCCCACACUGGUACUGAGACACGGACCAGACUCCUACGGGAGGCAGCAGUGAGGAAUAUUGGUCAAUGGGCGGGAGCCUGAACCAGCCAAGUCGCGUGGAAAAGGAAGAAGGAUCUAUGGUUCGUAAACUUCUUUUGCAGGGGAAUAAAGUGCAGGACGUGUCCUGUUUUGUAUGUACCCUGAGAAUAAGGAUCGGCUAACUCCGUGCCAGCAGCCGC
rnacentral:rRNA from 1 species